rnacentral:rRNA from 1 species
AGCAGCCGCGGUAAUUCCAGCUCCAAUAGCGUAUAUUAAAGUUGUUGCAGUUAAAAAGCUCGUAGUUGAAUUUCGAGACCGGCUUACUGGUCGUGCUUUUGUGCGUACUGGUAUAAUCGGUUUCUCCUUUCUGACGAACUUUAAUGCCAUUAAUUUGGUGUUUUAGGGAAUCAGGACUGUUACUUUGAAAAAUUAGAGUGUUUAAAGCAGGCUCACGCUUGAAUACAUUAGCAUGGAAUAACGGAAUAGGACGUUUGAUUCUAUUUUGUUGGUUUCUAGGAUCGACGUAAUGAUUAAUAGGGAUAGUUGGGGGCAUUAGUAUUCAAUUGUCAGAGGUGAAAUUCUUGGAUUUAUUGAAGACUAACUACUGCGAAAGCAUUUGCCAAGGAUGUUUUCAUUAAUCAAGAACGAAAGUUAGGGGAUCGAAGACGAUCAGAUACCGUCGUAGUCUUAACCAUAAACUAUGCCGACUAGGGAUCGGAUGAUGUUAAUUUUUAAUGACUCAUUCGGC